rnacentral:rRNA from 1 species
ACGGGUGAGUAACACGUGAGUAAUCUGCCCUUCACUUCGGGAUAACCGCCGGAAACGGUGGCUAAUACCGAAUACGACGCACUCUCGCAUGAGAUGUGCGUGGAAAGUUUUCUCGGUGGAGGAUGUGCUCGCGGCCUAUCAGCUUGUUGGUGAGGUAACGGCUCACCAAGGCUUCGACGGGUAGCCGGCCUGAGAGGGUGACCGGCCACACUGGGACUGAGACACGGCCCAGACUCCUACGGGAGGCAGCAGUGGGGAAUAUUGGACAAUGGGCGAAAGCCUGAUCCAGCAACGCCGCGUGAGGGAUGACGGCCUUCGGGUUGUAAACCUCUUUCAGUACCGACGAAGCGCCAAUAACGGUGGUGACGGUAGGUACAGAAGAAGGACCGGCCAACUACGUGCCAGCAGCCGCGGUAAUACGUAGGGUCCGAGCGUUGUCCGGAAUUAUUGGGCGUAAAGGGCUCGUAGGCGGUCUGUUGCGUCGGGAGUGAAAACUUACAGCUUAACUGUGAGCGUGCUUCCGAUACGGGCAGACUUGAGGUAUUCAGGGGAGAACGGAAUUCCUGGUGUAGCGGUGAAAUGCGCA